AUGGCUGCCCGCGCGCUGGUCGCACCCCCUCUGCCUCCAACUCCCCCUCUGGGUACCAUGCGGGCAACCCCGCGCGCCGCCGCCGGUCUCAGCUCAGCGCUGACCGGCCAUCGGGGAAGGCACACUUUGUGUUCAGUGCAAUUGACGGAAUCCCCCAGUGGCAAUCUUCAGGUGGAAGCAAACUCGUCUCAUUCCCCAACUCAACUGAUGUCUACAGGACGUGAUGACUCAGCGAUAACAUGUAAAGGAUUCUGUACGAUAUCAUGGAGCAUUAAAGCAGAUGUUAUGGAUGGUUACAUUAUCUUCAUAACAGGUGAUCCAGUUACCCUGGGUUGUUGGGAACCUGAUAUGGCUGUUCAGUUGAAUCCUUCUGUUAAAAGUAGCAAUAAAUGGACGGCUGUAAUCAAGGUACCAUAUGGCGUGCAUUUCAAGUAUAAUUACUUUGUUCGAGAGGAAAAAAAUUCCUCUAAUGACAUCAUAUGGAGGCCUGGACCUGAGUGCUCCUUAUCGAUACCUUCUGUUAGCCAGAAAAAUCAUGUCAUCCUUGUAAAAGAUCAGUGGAUGGAAACCAGUGUGGCAGGUAUUUCCUCUCCUUCCUGGGGAUCGUGGCUGAUGGAAGCUGAUUCUGUUGAAGAUCAAAUUGCUGAGAGAGGGAAGCGUGAGAGCAUUGUGAAAGCCCACUCUGUUAUAGAUAUGGACGGAGCUUCAUCUGUAGGUGAGCAUAUUAUAAUGAGACUUUGGAAUGGCACACCUUUAGAUUCAGUCAGUCCAUCCAUCAGUGUGCAUGAUGAUUUUGCUGCAGCUGAUAAACCAAAUGCAAUUAAAGUAAGUGUAAACCAACAUGAGAUAAAUCAGCCUGUUGAGGAGCCAUGGGUUCUUGGACCUAUCGUCUCAGCAAAGAACUCUGUUGCACAAGUGAAACGCAAGAAAGACAGAAGGAAGUUUUUGAAUACGGAAAAGGAUUCAGGUGAAAUAACUGAAAACAUGCCUGAACAGGAUCAGCCUGCGGAGGAGCCAUGGUUAUUUCAGUCUUGGGUGACAACAAACAGAGCUGGUGUUAUAUCAAAACGGAAAGUAGAAGCAAAGGGUAUUAUGAAAAGGUUAAAAGAAUUUGACAAACCCUCAGCAGCUUCUGAGAAGGAUAUGCCCGCCAGUGGUGAACCGCCAAGAGUCAUAUUAAUUAACUCCUCUAUCUGCAGUACACAGAGAAUUGCAGUAUUGGAAGAUGGGAAAUUAGUUGAACUCUUGCUGGAGCCCAUAAAAAACAAUGUACAUUGUGACAGUAUUUAUUUAGGUAUAAUAACAAAACUUGUGCCUCAUAUGGGAGGUGCUUUUGUCGACAUUGGAAUUUUGAGACCUUCACUCAUGAGCAUAAAGCAAAACCGUGAUCCAUUUGUGUAUCCUCAAAUUGUCAAGGAUAUUAAAGGAGGUUCUGCUAAUGAUUCUGGUUAUAACGAUGAGAGCCUUCUGACAUACGAUGAUGAUGAUGAUGUUGAUGAUGAUAUGGCUGACAACGAGUUUGCAGAUGAAGAAAAUGACGAUGAUUCAUUAACAUUUCUGGCUCAGAAUGUUAAGGAAAAUGAAGAAGGCUUGGACAUUGUGUCCCAUUCUAAUAUAAAGAAGAUUGAUGGUGCUGAAUUUGAAAAUGUCUCUGGUUGGGAUGAUGAAAUUGAUGAUCACGUGGAAGAUGAAUACAAUGAUGAUCACUCACCAGGAGAUCGGUCAGAGAUCUGCAAUGAUAUUAAGACGUUAUCUUCCAUUCAGCAUGCUUUGAGGGAAUCUAACGAUGAUACAAAUGGAUGUAGGUGGUCUCAAGUUCGCAAGGGCACAAAAAUCAUGGUUCAAGUUGUCAAGGAGGGAUUGGGCACGAAAGGUCCAACACUGAGUCCCUUUCCAUGCUUAAGAAGCCGAUUUUGGAUAUUGGUCUCUCGUGGCAACAAAGUUGGAGUUUCAAAAAAGAUUACUGGGAUAGAACGCACCCGGUUGAAGGGCAUUACAAAGUUAUUACGACCUCCUGGAUUUACUCUGACGGCUCGUACAGUUGCCGCUGGCCAUUCUUGGGAGGAGUUAAACAAGGACCUUGAUCGGUUGUUAUCUACCUGGAAAGGAAUAACUGAACAUGCUCAAUCUGCUGCCCUAGCUGCCGAGGAGGGUGUGGAAGGUGCUAUUCCUGUUAUGUUGUAUAGAUCAAAGGGCCAGGCUCUAUCUAUUGUUCAAGAUGAUUUUAAUGAGAAGGUCAAGAGGUUGGUUGUGGAUUCUCCUCGCACCUACCAUGAGGUUACGGGCUAUCUCCAAGAGGUUGCACCUGAGCUCUGCAAUCGAGUCGACCUCUACGAGAAAAGAACUCCCAUAUUCGAUGAAUUUAAGAUUGAAAAGGAGAUCGACAAUAUUCUCCGCAAAAGGGUUGUGCUACAGAAUGGGGGUUCUUUAAUUAUAGAACAGACUGAAGCUCUAGUUUCCAUUGAUGUGAAUGGUGGCCACAGCAUGUUUGGUCAAGGGACGUCGCAGGAGAAGGCUAUUUUAGAUGUCAAUCUUGAAGCUGCAAAGCAAAUUGCUCGCGAGCUGCGCUUGAGGGAUAUUGGUGGCAUCAUUGUUGUUGAUUUUAUCGACAUGACGGACGAUUCAAACAAAAGAUUAGUCUAUGAAGAAAUGAAGAAAGCAGUAGAAAAGGACCGCUCAACCGUUGGUGUUUCAGAAUUGUCAAAGCUAGGUUUGAUGGAAAUAACUAGAAAAAGGGUUCGACCAAGUGUUACUUUCAUGAUCAGCGAGCCUUGUCCAUGUUGCCAUGGUAUUGGUCGUGUUGAAGCUCUUGAUACGUCCUUUUCUAAGAUAGAACGUGAAAUCUGUCGACGCCUGGCCGUCUCUGGUCAUAAAUCAGAUCCAGAGAAACCAAAAUCGUGGCCAAGAUUUUUGCUUAGGGUGGACCAUGAGAUGUGCACGUACUUGACAUCAGGCAAAAGGACUAAAUUAGGGAUCCUUAGUAGCUCCCUCAAAGUUUGGAUUUUGUUGAAGAUUGCUCGAGGUUUUACACGGGGUGCAUUUGAAUUGCUACCAUAUUCUGAUCAGAAGGACACAGAUGAGCAGAAGGAAUUAUCACCAGAGUCACCACCUCCAAGGGAAGCAGGAAGACCGAGACUGUCUGUUUUUCCUAUAAAGAAAUGGAUGAGCCGUGCAAAGCGAGCCAAGUGA
rnacentral:rRNA from 1 species